AGCGUGGAGACAGGUGGUGCAUGGCUGUCGUCAGCUCGUGUCGUGAGAUGUUGGGUUAAGUCCCGCAACGAGCGCAACCCUCACCCCUUGUUGCUACCAGGUAAAGCUGGGCACUCUAGGGGAACUGCCCCGGUCAACGGGGAGGAAGGCGGGGAUGACGUCAAGUCAUCAUGCCCCCUACGUCCUGGGCUACACACGUGCUACAAUGGCCGGUACAAAGGGAUGCCACACCGCGAGGUAGAGCUAAACCCAAAAAGCCGGUCUAAGUUCAGAUUGGAGUCUGCAACUCGACUCCAUGAAGGAGGAAUCGCUAGUAAUCGCGUAUCAGCACGACGCGGUGAAUACGUUCCCGGGCCUUGUACACACCGCCCGUCACACCACGAAAGCCAGCUGUACUCGAAGUCGCUGAG
rnacentral:rRNA from 1 species